CAGUACCCACAGGAAGAGAAAACAAAAGUGAUUCCGUUAGUAGUGGCGAGCGAACGCGGAUGGGGGCUAAACCGUAUGUGUGUGAUACCCGGCAGGGGGUUGCAUGUGCGGUGUUUGUGGGGCCCCCCUCCUUUGUCAUGUCUGCCGGCAUGGGCGCAGUGAGGUGCGGGGCAUAUAGACGAAACAGUGUGGAUGCUGGACCGUAGAGGGUGAGAGUCCCCUAGUCGAAAAUGUGUUCCGCCGCUGUUUGGGGGGGGGGUUUGCCCCGAGUAGCACGGGGGGCCCCGAGGAAUCCCCGUGUGAA
rnacentral:rRNA from 1 species